ACUUGGUUUCUUAAAGCUGCGUAUUCUGGGCCAAGGAAUCUGCCUCUCCAGGGGAGAACCCCAGGCAGUGAAGACUGUCAGUGCCCGUGAGCAGGGCAGCUUCCUGUGGAGUGGGCAGUUCACGGAGGGGUAUGGAAGGGGUCUAGGGAGGAGCUGGGGAUGCUGUGGGGCAGACAGCCUGGGGGCACAGACUUGAGGGGCAUGCUGCCUUGGGGGUUCAGCCUCUGGUACAGCCUUGGGUGGCACAACUUUGGGGGUGCAGCCUUGGGGUUGUAGCCUUGGGGUUGCAGGGGUAGGUCUAAGGCAGGCCAGGGCAGGGUUGCUAUGGCCAAAGGGGACCCACUGUGCCCUGGAGCAGGCCCUGGGUCCCCAGCUGCAAGGGCCUCUGCGGGACACGGGCUGGGGUCCCACAUCACGUGGCUGUGUGUGCUGACAUACAGGGCCUGUCACCCCCCCAUCUCACGGAUUCUCCAAAGGACUUUGGGAGGUGUGAGGGGCAGAGAAAGGGAAACUGAGGCAAAGAGAAACCAAAUGACUGCUAGGCAGGACGGUGGGGGCCUGGACCCAGCAGCCCGCCCCCCACCCUGAGCUCCUUUCGCAAUAUCACAGCCGGGACUGGGGAAAAGGUUACCCUGAGGCCCUGUGUGUGAUGUGCAUGCUGGCGUGCGUACGUAUGUGCAAGCAUGUAUGUGCAUGUGUGCAGGUGCGUGUGUACAUGGGUGCACGUGCGUGGUCCCUGUGUGCACGCUGCAGCCCAGGCAUGGGGCCUGUGCUCCUCACCCAGCUCUAUCCUCACGGCUUC
rnacentral:lncRNA from 1 species